GACGAACGCUGGCGGCGUGCUUAACACAUGCAAGUCGAACGGAAAGGCCCUGCUUUUGUGGGGUGCUCGAGUGGCGAACGGGGGAGUAAAACGUGAGUAACCUGCCCUUGACUUUGGGAUAACUUCAGGGAACUGGGGCUAAUACCGGAUAGGAGCUCCUGCUGCAUGGUGGGGGUUGGAAAGUUUCGGCGGUUGGGGAUGGACUCGCGGCUUAUGAGCUUGUUGGUGGGGUAGUGGCUUACCAAGGCUUUGACGGAUAGCCGGCCUGAGAGGGUGACCGGCCACUUUGGGACUACGAUACGGCCCAGACGCCUACGGGACGCAGCAGUGGGGAAUAUUGCACAAUGGGCGGAAGCCUGAUGCAGCAACGCCGCGUGCGGGAUGACGGCCUUCGAGUUGUAAACCGCUUUCGCCUGUGACGAAGCGUGAGUGACGGUAAUGGGUAAAGAAGCACCGGCUAACUACGUG
rnacentral:rRNA from 1 species